GUGUGUGUGUGUGUGUGUGUAGCCAGCCAGGUAGAAAAAUGGCAGAAAAAAGACGGACAUCAGAGUAUUUUUCAGUAUACCAAAACGCAAAGCAGAGCAGGCAACAGAUGGCACACAGACAGCAGAGCUGGGGACAGACUGGCAGAGACAGGGAGUCUCAGGUUGUAAUGCAACAAACUGGGAAAAACGCCAAGGGGGAUGAAUACUUUUGCAAGGCACUUUAUCAAACCUUGUGCUAGAUUGACAAGGCUAAUUCAACAAUCUAGCUUUUUGUAUUAAAUUAAUAGUUAUUUGUAGUGUUUAUAAAUAUAUACUGAAU
rnacentral:lncRNA from 1 species